UACGUAGGCAGCAAGCGUUGUUCGGAGUUACUGGGCGUAAAGGGUGCGUAGGCGGCUUCUUAAGUCUGGUGUGAAAUCUCCCGGCUCAACUGGGAGGGUGCGCCGGAUACUGAGGGGCUAGAGUGUGGGAGAGGAAAGUGGAAUUCCUGGUGUAGCGGUGAAAUGCGUAGAUAUCAGGAGGAACACCGGCGGCGAAGGCGGCCCUCUGGAUCGUUGCUGACGCUGAGACGCGAAAGCGUGGGGAGCAAACAGG
rnacentral:rRNA from 1 species